GAAGGAUCAUUAACGAGUAACUGAACAGGUUGUAGCUGGCCUUUCGGGGCAUGUGCACGCCUGGCUCAUCCACUCUUCAACCUCUGUGCACCUGUUGUAGGUCGGUCGAAGGGUCACUGUGUGAACGGUGACUUGGAAGCCUUCCUAUGUUUUACUACAAACGCUUCAGUUUAAGAAUGUAAUCUCUGCGUAUAACGCAUUUAUAUACAACUUUCAGCAACGGAUCUCUUGGCUCUCGCAUCGAUGAAGAACGCAGCGAAAUGCGAUAAGUAAUGUGAAUUGCAGAAUUCAGUGAAUCAUCGAAUCUUUGAACGCACCUUGCGCUCCUUGGUAUUCCGAGGAGCAUGCCUGUUUGAGUGUCAUGGUAUUCUCAACCUUCAAAGCUUUGUUGCAGCGAAGGCUUGGAUUUGGAGGUUGUGUCGGCGCAAGUCGACUCCUCUUAAAUGCAUUAGCGUGACUCAUUACGGAUCGCCUUCAGUGUGAUAAUUGUCUACACUGUGGUGUUGAAGUAUAUACACGAGUCUUCAUGCUUACAAUCGUCUCCUAGCGAGACAAACACAUACAUUGACAAUCUGACCUCAAGUCAGGUAGGACUACCCGCUGAACUUAAGCAUAUCAAUAAGCGGAGGA
rnacentral:rRNA from 1 species